rnacentral:lncRNA from 1 species
CUUAGAUCCUCAGGUGAGAAUUGGGAGACAGAUGCGCAAGGAUUAAUUGGUAGGAGUUUGACAAAAGCAAGGAGAACAGUUUGAUAAACACUUAGUUUAAUUUGAGAAGUACAGAUAGAAAAUAGAAAGGAGGAAUGAGAGAUUAUUACUCUAAUACCUUAUGACUAUACCUAAAUUCCUAAUCCUAACUAAAAUUUCUAAAAAUUCCUACAUUGUCUUCGAGGACAGGUUCUUCUGCCUGGGUAGACCAGGCCUAAACUAUUUACUCUACCUAGGAAUUUAUUCACUAAUGACCUACCUGUACUAAUAAAUAAACAUACAUCACCUAUGAACUCCUUAAAUCCAUUUUUCUGUAUCCCAACUGUUAGUAGUUAAAACUGCCAGAGCCUAAGAGACAGAGAACCAGCUCCCUCAAGGUCCAGAGACCAAAAGUCCCUCAACUGCCAACUAAAUCCUUUCUUAUGUAUCUUGUCUCCUAGGUAACAGAAUCUUCAUCUCUGGCUAACUCUCCCAGAAGCCUGUCAGUUCUUUUCUACUUAGAAAUCCUUCUGCUCACUUUCCUAACUCUUAAAGAGAUAGAGGGAGAGAUUAAGAAAAUCUCUUUAACAUAUGGACAUCAAAGGAAGAAAGUAACCCUGAAAAAGUCUCAAUAAACCCUCAUACUAGAGGGCUCCUGAUCAUCUCAUACACCCUAAGGGUGAAUACAUAGGGAAUAUAUACACCCUGGACACACAGUCCCAGGCCCUCUGUGAGAUGCUAUCUUGCUGGAUUUCUACUCUUUAGUGUCUGACUCAGCUGAAAUCUUUUUCAAUAGAAGAGUUCCUGUGAUGUUCUGAUGAGACCUCCUGUUCAAUUCUCAUUCUCAGAAGUGCAGUGGAUAAAGAUCUGGACAUGGAGACAGGAAGACCUAAAUUCAAAGCUAGCCUCAGAUGAGAAGGAGCCAAACUAUCCUCUGACCACAGGCCUUUACGACUCCUGCCGCACAUGUUCCCUGGGGAAGAUGGCAAGCAGCCAGGCUGGGCUGACUUCCAUCUGUACCAGCACAAGGCAACUCCCACCUCCUGCUGUCAGCCUGAUCUCCUAAUCAGAAUGUGGAGAAGCACUCCUGCAAAAAGAAGCAAGCCUCCCUUUGACCUCAGGCCUUCCAUCUCCUUCUGCCCUUGAGUCCUGAAAGAAGAGGAAGAGUAAAGUCAGUGAGGGACAGAGCUCUUUUUAAAUUUGGUUUGCAUUAUUAACAUUUUGUUAAAAUCCAAAUAAUCAAUAAAACAAUAAAUCCAGCCCUCUUAUGUAGCUUU